UUUAUUGUCCUAAGUCAAAAGUCUUCAAGUUUGACCAAAUUUAUAAAAAAAUAUAGCAACAUUUCCAACAUUAAACAAAAUAAAGACAUUCAAUAGUGGAUUUAAUGAAACUGAUCUAAUGUUGUUUAUGUUGCUAUGUUUUUGUAUAAACUUGGUCAAACUUGAGAAGUUUGACUUAGGACAAAACCA
rnacentral:pre_miRNA from 1 species